rnacentral:rRNA from 1 species
UGAAAAAGAAAGUAAAGCAUAUAACGGAUGCCUUGACUUAGAGUUCCGAUGAAGGACGUGGGAAACUGCGAUAAGCCUCGACGAGUUGUUAACAAGCGUUGACUCGGGGAUUUCCGAAUGGGGAAACCCGCAUAGAUUCAUAUUUAUGCAUUCAUACCUGAACACAUAGGGUAUGUAAAGGAUACUCGGAGAACUGAAACAUCUCAGUACCCGAGGAAAAGAAAUCAAUCGAGAUUCCCUUAGUAGUGGCGAACGAACGGGGAGAAGCCCAAACCGUCUUUAUGGCGGGGUUGUAGGACUCCAAUGUGACGACUUUUUAUAUAGACGAAAAAAGCUGGAAAGCUUUGCCGAAGAAGGUGAUAGCCCUGUAGUUGAAAUAUAGAAAUAGUCUAGGAUGAUCCUGAGUAAGGUCGGACACGUGUAAUCUGGCCCGAAGCAGGGGGGACCACCCUCCAAGGCUAAACAGACUCUAAGAUCGAUAGUGAACUAGUACCGUGAGGGAAAGGUGAAAAGAACCCCGGGAGGGGAGUGAAAUAGAACCUGAAAUUAUAUGCUUAUAAAGAGUCGGAGCUUCACGCUUGCGUGUUGUGACGGCGUGCUUUUUGUAGAACGAAUGAGCGAGUUAGUUGUAUGUGGCAAGGAUAAGUCAGUAAUAGACGAAUCCGUAGCGAAAGCGAGUCUUAAUAGGGCGACGAAGUCGCAUGCACUAGACCCGAAACUAGGUGAGCUAUCCAUGGUCAGGCUGAAGCGGUGGUAAGACAUCGUGGAGGGCCGCACACGGACGUGUUGCAAGACGUCGUGAUGAACUGUGGAUAGGGGUGAAAAGCCAAUCGAACCUAGAGAUAUCUGGUUCUCUCCGAAAUAGCUUUAGGGCUAGCCUUGAGCGUUAAAUUGUGGGGGUAGAGCACUGUCAAGACUAGGGCUUCCCAAAAGAGGUACCAACUCUUAACAAACUUCGAAUACCACAAUGUAUUUCUCAGGAGUCAGACUGUGACAGCUAAGUGCCAUAGUCGAAAGGGAAACAGCCCAGAUCGCCAUCUAAGGUCCCUAAUAGAAUUUAAGUGGGAAAGGAUGUGAGAGUGUUAAAACAACCAGGAGGUUGGCUUAGAAGCAGCCAUUCCUUUAAAGAGUGCGUAAUAGCUCACUGGUCGAACGCUCUUGCGCCGAAAAUGUAACGGGGCUAAAUUUCUAACCGAAGAUGCGGAUUGUAUGAUUUAUCAUACAGUGGUAGGAGAGCGUUGUAUUCAGCGUUGAAGUCGAACUGCGAGGUUCGGUGGAGUGGAUACAAGCGAAAAUGCUCAUAUGAGUAAGUUAAAUAAAUGUGAAAACCAUUUACACCGUAAGACCAAGGUUUCCCACGCAACGACAAUCGACGUGGGGUUAGUCGGUCCUAAGACGAGGUCGAAAG